UACACAAAUAUCAUAGACACAGAAGUUACAUAUGCUUUUAUUAAGAGUUAAUGAUUUAAAAAAUAACCUAAUGAUAUGAGUGCUAAAUUUGUAAAUAAUUGAAAUGAGUCACUUUCUUCUGGUAACACCUUCCUGGGGUUUUUAGCUUCAAGAGCCACCAUGCUGACAAGUAAGCACUUUCAUUACCAAUACUUCUUUCAGGCUAUUCCAUUCCAAGAUGACCAAAUAGGAACAGCUCUGGUCUGGAGCUCCCAGCGUGCCCGACACAGAAGACGGGUGAUUUCUGCAUUUUCACAGAGUUAUUCCUUUGUAGUUGUGAUCCAGCAUGGAUGUGGUGUGGUUGUAUCAGUGACUGCAGGUAGUCUGUGGAGCAUUACACAGUUCUUUACGGAAAUAGCAGCUGCAAGUGACCAGGACCACUGACAGCAGAAGGCACCUCACUUACCAUGGUAAAAAGCAGUUUAGAAAAAUCUCAAAAACAAAAUAAAUGUUUAUUGGAGACUCAA
rnacentral:lncRNA from 10 species